rnacentral:lncRNA from 1 species
UCCUUCCAUAGAAUCUUACUCAUUGUUGAUUUCUUCUCUUAAGCCGGAGCUCGGCUUCAGGAGUACUUUUCAAAAUAUCAUGUAUUUUGCUAACUCUAUAUAACUCCAUGUGUCAUUUCAUCCAGAAAACUUGUUUCUAAUGCUUUUUUCUCUGGACUCUAAGCUGGUUGAUGCCACCAGGCCUUGGGAAAAAGCCUGCCUUCUGAUAGGAUUGCUAUUGAGUAGCAAAAAUUCUUGGAUUCUGAUAACAUCUUUCAUGCAGAAACUCAAAGCAUCUCCCAAAUUAUAAGCCCAUUCUUUUACACUGUUCUACACUCUCACACUCUAGGAACAACUCAUUUCAAUCUUGGGACAUUGACCAGAAUUCAGGGAAACUAGCAUGAUCCUUCCAGUCUGACGUUUCAUUCCAUCUACUGUCCAAAGCUGUGUCUACAAGGCAUCACCUAUGAGACAAUAAAACAAACCCUCUGAAAUCAGGAAAUUUGCCAGAAGAUGGCGAGCUGGGAAGAAAUAAAACCAGGAUUUGAGCCAGGACUGACUGCAAAGUGCGGUGCUAGAGGACCUUCUGAGUCAAGCCCUGGGACUUCUUCACCUACAGAAAGCAGAACUUGGCUUCAAGCUGACCUCACCCCACCUGCAAGUCUUAAUACACUUGGACAUGCCAUGAAAUGACAAGAAAUAUUCAGAUUUUAGAUAUGUAAAAAUAUUAAAACUAUGCCUCUUAGAAUCUGUGAAGUAUGGUAUAUGUAACCCUUUUUUGUGCUAAAUGUUAUAACAUGAGAAUUUACU